rnacentral:tRNA from 1 species
GCUCUGGUAGUGUAGCCAGGUCUAUCAUCCAGGACUGUCACUCCUGGGACCCGGGUUCAAAUCCCGGCCAGGGCG